rnacentral:rRNA from 1 species
UACGUAGGGUGCAAGCGUUGUCCGGAAUUAUUGGGCGUAAAGAGCUCGUAGGCGGUUUGUCGCGUCUGGUGUGAAAAUCCAGGGCUUAACCCUGGACCUGCAUCGGGUACGGGCAGACUAGAGUGCGGUAGGGGAGAUCGGAAUUCCUGGUGUAGCGGUGAAAUGCGCAGAUAUCAGGAGGAACACCGGUGGCGAAGGCGGGUCUCUGGGCCGAUACUGACGCUGAGGAGCGAAAGCUAGGGGAGCAAACAGG